CAAUGGCUCCCUUUAUGUAUACAGGAGACUCCACAAACUUGGAAAUCCUAAAAUUUACUGGGAAAUAAUUAUACUGUUUUUACACAUAUCGUUAUCGACUUUUAUUUCCUCGUUAAUGGAGCAUGUGAAAUAACAACAAGACAAUUGUUUGCUGUUUACCCGUAGAUGAGAUUCCCUGCUCGUAUAAACGAAAUACGGAAAGCGGAGGGAGAAUACAACAUCUCGAGUUGCUAGUGAAUCGUGGAGCUAAUUUACGGCCCGUCACCACUCGGAUGGACGAUCUUAGUAAGCGGAUUAGGGCCACUGUAAUGUUAGGAGUUUGGAAAUUCAGGCUUUAUUUUAUGCAAACAAGUAAUAUCCGCAAGAAGAUGCCCGUCAGAUUAAAUUAGUCCCAUAAUAUCUUAUCAUCAGCUUAAUUGAAUGUUACAAGUCAUUGAGGGUAUUGAAAAAUAUCUAAAUUGGAUGU